rnacentral:rRNA from 1 species
UACAGAGGUCUCAAGCGUUGUUCGGAUUCAUUGGGCGUAAAGGGUGCGUAGGUGGCGCCGUAAGUCGGGUGUGAAAUUUCGGAGCUUAACUCCGAAACUGCAUUCGAUACUGCGGUGCUUGAGGACUGGAGAGGAGACUGGAAUUCAUGGUGUAGCAGUGAAAUGCGUAGAGAUCAUGAGGAAGACCAGUGGCGAAGGCGGAUCUCUGGACAGUUCCUGACGCUGAGGCGCGAAGGCCAGGGGAGCAAACGGG